rnacentral:rRNA from 1 species
UCUGGUCAGUGAUGGGAGGAUGGGACCUCCCAUGGGACCUGGAUGGGAGACCUCCUGGGAAAACUAGGUUGCUGCUGGAA